CUUUUCCACGUCAAAGACCGUUUUUAUAAAUAUGAACGUUGCCGUGGAUUUUAGUGUACCCACACUUUAAGAUCAAAUCUGUGUAUACACACGUUUUAUAAAUGAGACCUCGGUACCUCUACUGGCCUCUG